rnacentral:rRNA from 1 species
GUGCGCCUAACACAUGCAAGUCGAGCGGUAGAAUUAUUAUUGAAUCUUCGGAUGAUUUAAUAAUUUGAGAGCGGCGAACGGGUGAGUAACACGUUGGUAUCUGCCCCCAAGUCAGGGAUAGCCAUUGGAAACGAUGAUUAAUACCGGAUAGUCUCUUCGGAGUAAAGAUUUAUUGCUUGGGGAGGAACCUGCGUUCUAUCAGCUAGUUGGUGAGGUAAAAGCUCACCAAGGCUAUGACGGAUACCUGGUCUGAGAGGAUGAUCAGGCACAAUGGAACUGAGACACGGUCCAUACUCCUACGGGAGGCAGCAGUGAGGAAUCUUCCACAAUGGGCGAAAGCCUGAUGGAGCGACACCGCGUGAAGGAUGAAGGCCUAACGGUUGUAAACUUCUUUUCUGAAGGAGCAUAAUGAGAGUACUUCAGGAAUAAGGGACGGCUAAAUACGUGCCAGCAGCCGCGGUAAUACGUAUGUCUCGAGCGUUACCCGGAAUCAC